CUGGCCUGGCUUGGCUUGGCCUGGACGGGGCCGGGCGCGCAGCCUCCUCGCUCCGGCCCGCGCUCUCCAGCCGCCCGGCGAGGGCGCGCGUUGGCCGCCCAGGACCCGCCCUGCCGUGCCCCCUCGGGCCGGCCGUGUGAGCGUCGCGGGCGGGCGGGCCGGCGUUCCCGUGUGUGUCGAGACGGGGGCCCGUUCUCACGGGAGGCCCCGCUCCGUGCCCAGCCGCGGCUGGCUUUGCGCUCCGAGGCGGGACCGGGACGGGGACGGGAGCGCGCUGCCAGGCAGUGCCCCGAGUGAGGGCCCAGCGGCGACGAGCGGCUGCCCCCGGGGCGGGAAGGGGAGUCUCCCGAAGCCGCCUCAGCAGUGCACCGCCGACGCCACGAUGCUACACCCUGAAACCUGCGGCCUGGCCCACAGGCAUCUCUUGUGCCAGUCUACGGCCCUUGGCGAAGCAUCUCUGGAGACCCGCUGCCUACAAUACAGCCCUCCUGGCUGAGUCAAAACAAAACAAAACCCUUUUGAAUAAUUCAAUGUUGCGUUGUUUGUGGAAAGCCAGGAGACUCGGGCCAGCCAUUCUACUGGGCAGAGGCCACCACGGAGAACGUAUUUCUUGACGUUCUUCAAGAGAGGAAGGGGCAGUUGUCUGAGAACACUGACAAGGCUCAGGGUCUGGUUUUCAGUUAAUUCCAUGUGGAGUCUCCAUCUGACCCAGGCACUGGAAGAGGGAGGGUCAUUCUGCCUACAGAUUAACAAUUGUCUUAAAGACAGGCCACAGUCCAACAGGGUGUCCAUUCUAGCCAGUCACACAGCUGAGGGUAACCCAAUGGCUGCUGUUCCCAAAUGUCACAGAUGAAGCUAGAAAUAUAGGGGAACUAUUGCUGGAUUUGACCAGGAAGAUCAUAGAAGAUGUCUUUGCACACAAACAAGGCUAUCUUGGCCCCACAGCUAGACAUGCCACAAAGGGAAUCUAGAGACUUAAAACAGAACAGCCUUGGAGAGGGGCCUGAAACAGAGGAGUAAGACCGUAGCACGGCCUUGUGCAGAGUAGAAGAGCCAUCAGACCCGUGUCAACAGACGGAGAGACCAUCUGAGAAUGACAGGAAUGUCCAGUUUCACAGAAGUUGAAGAUUCAAGAACGGGUGUCCUGGUAGAGGGCCAAAAGAUAUUCACGUACAUGAGAAACACGUAAUGGUUAAUUUUACAUAGACUUUAUUAAGGUAAUGUAGGAAAAACGAACUAAUAUUUAUAUAUACUUUAAGAAGAUGUUUCAAAUAUAACCUUGUCUGGUGUUUGAAGCAAGAAUUAGUUAGCCAAGAAUAUGAGCCCUUUCAAAGCAGGACAGUUAGUUAUUGCUAGGAGAUUAAUUUGAAACCCUUUAAAUAUGAGAAGCUGAACUUAUCAGGAGCUUCUUUCUAGAAGAGCUCCUUGCUUGCAACCUGCGUAUCUUUGGGUAACACACUUCCUUGAAUGCAUGUAAUUGCUCCUUGGAUGAUCAAAAUAGUUAUAAGGGAUGGUAUGAUUUUAUCUUGAUUAUGGAGAAUACAGAAUGUUUU